rnacentral:lncRNA from 1 species
GGAAUGAAGAGCUCAGAACCCAUUCUGUGAUUUCUAUCAGUGAUUAACAACUGAGUGCGAGCAGCUGGGGUGGGUGCCUGAAAGGUGAGCCAAAAGUGAGAGACAGAGGAGAAUUCCUAGCUGUAGAAACUGAAGGAACCUCCCAUGGUAGUGAUUUGAGAUGCACACAUCAGGGAGAAGAUAGCUGGCUUCUACUGUGAACCAGGUGUGAUACAGAAAGCCUUGAUGCUCAGCUGGGCAUUGCUGCGAUUGGGGGACCUUGCACACCUGAGGCAGCACAGCUGUUUUCACUUGGCCUGACUGCAGGAGGUGAUAAGAAGGGAAGCUGAGAUCCGUUUUGGACAGGAUGAAAGGAGGCAAGGGAGGAAGAAAUGGUGCUCAUUUUUAAGAUUUCCUUACAAUGCCGGUUGUAGCAGAAAUGGUCUCUUCUGCCUUCUGAGGUGUAUGUACAGCCUUUAAGAAAUGAAGUGGAACCAAAAUGAAAUAGUGAGCGCCCUAGCUAUUGAAAUCCGCUCAUUCACAUUGCAGAGACAAGGAUUAUUCCAUGAAAAGAAACAAGAUCUCAAUGAGAUGUGGGAGUUUGGAUAUCCUUCCCUGCUCAGGAGCUGCAGAUGGUCCCUCCACCAGGACCGAGCACCUCCUGCAGCGCUUCAGCCUGGCUUCUCCUCUUCUGGGGAGGCCACGUCCCUGUUGUUGACGUCUGUUUGCUAA